rnacentral:rRNA from 1 species
AAAUUGAAGAGUUUGAUCAUGGCUCAGAUUGAACGCUGGCGGCAGGCCUAACACAUGCAAGUCGAACGGUAGCACAGAGAGCUUGCUCUCGGGUGACGAGUGGCGGACGGGUGAGUAAUGUCUGGGAAACUGCCUGAUGGAGGGGGAUAACUACUGGAAACGGUAGCUAAUACCGCAUAAUGUCGCAAGACCAAAGAGGGGGACCUUCGGGCCUCUUGCCAUCAGAUGUGCCCAGAUGGGAUUAGCUAGUAGGUGGGGUAAC